rnacentral:rRNA from 1 species
GGAUACGCUGGCGGCAUGCUCACACAUGCAAGUUGAACGGGUUUAAGUCUAUUAAACUUAAACAAGUAGCGGACGGGUGAGUAACGCGUAAGAACCUACCUUUAGGUAAGGAAUAACUAUUGGAAACGAUAGAUAAUACCUUAUAAGCUUAUAGUAAAAGAUAAAAUCGCCUAAGGAUGGGCUUGCGUCUGAUUAGCUUGUUGGUGAUUUAAAAGAUUCACCAAGGCAACGAUCAGUAGUUGGUCUAAGAGGAUGAUCAACCACACUGGGACUGAGACACGGCCCAGACCUCUACGGAGGGCAGCAGUGAGGAAUUUUCCGCAAUGGGCGAAAGCCUGACGGAGCAAUGCCGCGUGGAGGAUGAAAGCUUGUGAGUCGUAAACUCCUUUUCUUAGUGAAGAAAUAAGACGGUAUCUAAGGAAUAAGCAUCGGCUAACUCCGUGCCAGCAGCCGCGGUAAUACGGAGGAUGCAAGCGUUAUUCGGAAUUAUUGGGCGUAAAGCGUCUGUAGGUGGUUUUUUAAGUCUACUGUUAAAUAUUAAGGCUUAACCUUAAAAAAGCGGUAUGAAACUAAAAAACUUGAGUUUAGUAGAGGUAGAGGGAAUUCUCGGUGUAGUGGUGAAAUGCGUAGAAAAUCCAAAAGAACACCGGUAGCGAAAAGCGCUCUAUUGGGCUUAAAACUGACACUUGAGAGAAGAAAGCUAGGGGGGGCAAAUACGAUUAAGUACCCUAAGUAUUCCUUGAGUGUAACGAUGAUCUAAGG